rnacentral:rRNA from 1 species
GGUUGCGAUCAUACCAGCACUAAUGCACCGGAUCCCAUCAGAACUCCGCAGUUAAGCGUGCUUGGGCGAGAGUAGUACUAGGAUCGGUGACCCCCUGGGAAGGCCUCGUGUUGCAACCU